CCGUCCAGACUCCUACGGGAGGCAGCAGUGGGGAAUAUUGCACAAUGGGCGAAAGCCUGAUGCAGCUAUACCGCGUGUAUGAAGAAGGCCUUAGGGUUGUAAAGUACUUUCGUUGGGGAGGAAAAAUAAAUAGAUAAUACCUGUUUAUCGUGACGUUACCCAAAAAAGAAGCACCGGCUAACUCCGUGCCAGCAGCCGCGGUAAUACGGAGGGUGCAAGCGUUAAUCAGAAUUACUGGGCGUAAAGAGCUCGUAGGCGGUUUUUUAAGUCAGAUGUGAAAUCCCUGGGCUUAACCUAGGAACUGCAUUUGAAACUAAAAGACUAGAGUAUCGUAGAGGGAGGUAGAAUUCUAGGUGUAGCGGUGAAAUGCGUAGAUAUCUGGAGGAAUACCUGUGGCGAAAGCGGCCUCCUAAAUGAAUACUGACGCUGAGGUGCGAAAGCAUGGGGAGCAAACAGGAUUAGAUACCCUGGUAGUCCAUGCCGUAAACGAUGUCGACUUGGAGGUUGUUUCCUUGAGAAGUGACUUCCGAAGCUAACGCGUUAAGUCGACCGCCUGGGGAGUACGGUCGCAAGGCUAAAACUCAAAUGAAUUGACGGGGGCCCGCACAAGCGGUGGAGCAUGUGGUUUAAUUCGAUGCAACGCGAAAAACCUUACCUGGUCUUGACAUCCACAGAAUUUUUCAGAGAUGAAAAAGUGCCUUAGGGAACUGUGAGACAGGUGCUGCAUGGCUGUCGUCAGCUCGUGUUGUGAAAUGUUGGGUUAAGUCCCGCAACGAGCGCAACCCUUAUCCUCUGUUGCCAUUGGUUCGGCCAGGAACUCAGAGGAGACUGCCGGUUAUAAACCGGAGGAAGGCGGGGACGACGUCAAGUCAUCAUGGCCCUUACGACCAGGGCUACACACGUGCUACAAUGGUGUAUACAAAGAGAAGCAACUCUGUAAAGACAAGCAAACCUCAUAAAGUACAUCGUAGUCCGGACUGGAGUCUGCAACUCGACUCCACGAUC
rnacentral:rRNA from 2 species